AACGAACGCUGGCGGCAGGCUUAACACAUGCAAGUCGAACGGGUGUAGCAAUACAUCAGUGGCAGACGGGUGAGUAACACGUGGGAACCUUCCUAGGGGUACGGAACAACUCAGGGAAACUUGAGCUAAUACCGUAUACGUCCGUAAGGAGAAAGAUUCAUCGCCCCUAGACGGCCCGCGUCGGAUUAGGUAGUUGGUGGGGUAACGGCCUACCAAGACCUACGAUCCGUAGCUGAUCUGAGAGGAUGAUCAGCCACACUGGGAC
rnacentral:rRNA from 1 species